rnacentral:rRNA from 1 species
UACGUAGGGGCCAAGCGUUGUCCGGAUUUAUUGGGCGUAAAGAGCUCGUAGGCGGUUUGUCGCGUCUGCUGUGAAAACCCGAGGCUCAACCUCGGGCCUGCAGUGGGUACGGGCAGACUAGAGUGCGGUAGGGGGAGAUUGGAAUUCCUGGUGUAGCGGUGGAAUGCGCAGAUAUCAGGAGGAACACCAAUGGCGAAGGCAGAUCUCUGGGCCGUAACUGACGCUGAGGAGCGAAAGCAUGGGGAGCGAACAGG